UGAAUUGCGCACUGAAUCCGCGGAACUGGCGGACCUCCUACAGACAUGCCACCAAAAGCAGCCUGACUACCACCCUCACGGCAACCGGCAGGCCGCCCCCUGCAGCUUGCCGCCCCAGGCACACCCUUGCUAUGCUGGUGACUGGAGCCAUCCCUGAUCUUGAGGCCACCAAUCGAGGAUUGUCCCCAUUGCACUAGGUAGGCACUGCAUACACAUAAAAUGA